UCAAUACCUAAAAUGUUGCACAACAUAUCUGAACAUGUUUCAGGGCAUUGUGCAGUAUACACCAAGACAUGGACAAGAUGAUGGCCAAACUGGACGUGACUGAAGCUGGAGAACUGGAGGUCAACUGGUGGUGGUAGCAGUAACAGAGGAGCUGUGGAACCACACACUUCACAGCAUUUUCCUACAGCCAACCUAAAGUUUCUAGAACUGUCAGCAUGAUGAGGAUCGCGAGGAGACCAGAAUGCCUGUACACCCUGAGGAGUGAAAUUAAUGUUCAUGCAAAGAAAAUGUUU